CCUACGGGAGGCAGCAGUGGGGGAUAUUGCACAAUGGGGGGAACCCUGAUGCAGCGACGCCGCGUGGGUGAAGAAGCGCCUCGGCGCGUAAAGCCCUGUCAGCAGGGAAGAAAAUGACGGUACCUGACGAAGAAGCCCCGGCUAACUACGUGCCAGCAGCCGCGGUAAUACGUAGGGGGCAAGCGUUAUCCGGAUUUACUGGGUGUAAAGGGGGCGCAGACGGCGAUGCAAGCCAGGAGGGAAAGCCCGGGGCCCAACCCCGGGACUGCUCUUGGAACUGCGUGGCUGGAGUGCAGGAGGGGCAGGCGGAAUUCCUGGUGUAGCGGUGAAAUGCGUAGAUAUCAGGAGGAACACCGGUGGCGAAGGCGGCCUGCUGGACUGCAACUGACGUUGAGGCCCGAAAGCGUGGGGAGCAAACAGGAUUAGAUACCCGAGUAGUC
rnacentral:rRNA from 1 species